CCCUGACCAGUGGUGUGUUAUGUGUUCUCCUAUCUCUUAGUGAAUGAGUAGAACCCUGAUCAGGGUUGUGUUAUAUGUUCUCCUGUCUCUUAGUGAAUGAGUAGAACCCUGAUCAGGGGUGUGUUAUGUGUUCUCCUGUCUCUUAGUGAAUGAGUAGAACCCUGACCAGUGGUGUGUUAUGUGUUCUCCUGUCUCUUAGUGAAUGAUUAGAACCCUGAUCAGGGGUGUGUUAUGUGUUCUCCUGUCUCUUAGUGAAUGAGUAGAACCCUGACCAGUGGUGUGUUAUGUGUUCUCCUGUCUCUUAGUGAAUGAGUAGAACCCUGAUCAGUGGUGUGUUAUAUGUUCUCCUGUCUCUUAGUGAAUGAGUAGAACCCUGACCAGUGGUGUGUUGUGUUCUCCUGUCUCUUAGUGAAUGAGUAGAACCCUGACCAGUUGGGCCUGAGACGUGAAACGAACUGCCCCAGCUCGGAGUCGGCUCAAGUAGGCAAUAGAGACGCUGUUGACAGUGUGUUUGAGAGAAUCUGGGCAAAAGGCUAGUUUAAAACUGUUCCGCGACUCCUGUCCUGUCUACAGUCAUCCCCCAAAACAAACAGGAACGGUCUCUCUGAGAAUGAGUGCACAACUGGUAAAUAGUCACUUAUAGAUAUGUCAGACAGACAGGUGGCUUGCUGCCGGCAGACACUUCUGUUGCAAUGACAUUGAAGGGAUCUGCCUGCUAAAAUGAGGAAGUAAAGCCAAUGUUAAAUGGAGCCUAACUCUGCAGGAGAAAAAAUAUGACACUAAGUUCUCAUAAUAACUUUACUUUACAGAGAGGACUACUGAGACAGACAGACUGAGACAGACUGAGACAGACAGAGAUGACUACUGAGACAGACUGUGACAGACAGAGAGGACUACUGAGACAGACAGACUGAGACAGACUGAGACAGACAGACUGACUGAGACAGACAGACUGACUGAGACAGACAGACUGAGAGACAGACAGACUGAGACAGACAGACUGAGACAGACAGAGA
ensembl:lncRNA